rnacentral:sRNA from 1 species
ACGCUAUUUAUGCAACAAAGUGAAAAGUAUACUUCGAUACACCCGCUUCACCUAAGCGCCGUUGUCCUGAAGAGCUACAUCCUUGUCCAUAAGUAAUCCAUUAUGUUGGCAUGAAGCACGCCCCUGGGCGUAUUUAUUCCUAUAUUUUCAGGAGACAUCCUAUGUCUAAAGCAACUGGUACUGUUAAGUGGUUUAACGACGAGAAAGGCUUCGGUUUCAUCACUCAAGACAACGGCGGUGCAGACGUAUUCGUACACUUCCGUGCUAUCACUGGUGAAGGCUUCAAAUCUCUGGCUGAAGGUCAGAAAGUGAAGUUCGAUAUCGAGCAAGGCCAAAAAGGUCCUCAAGCUGCUAACGUUGAGCGCGCAUAAGCCCUCUUCGAGCACAUGAACACGAAAAAGAGCGCCUGAGGGCGCUCUUUUUAUU